AAUGAACAAAAUGUUGCAUUGAAUCGUACCAGUCUAUAUUGGGGUUUAUUACUCAUGUUUGUACUUGCUGUUUUAUUUUCCAAUUACUUCUUCAAUUGA
rnacentral:rRNA from 1 species